AUUGAACGCUGGCGGCAGGCCUAACACAUGCAAGUCGAACGGUAACAGGAAGCAGCUUGCUGCUUUGCUGACGAGUGGCGGACGGGUGAGUAAUGUCUGUGAAACUGCCCGAUGGAGGGGGAUAACUACUGGAAACGGUAGCUAUUACCGCAUAACGUCGCAAGACCAAAGAGGGGGACCUUAGGGCCUCUUGCCAUCGGAUGUGCCCAGAUGGGAUUAGCUAGUAGGUGGGGUAACGGCUCACCUAGGCGACGAUCCCUAGCUGGUCUGAGAGGAUGACCAGCCACACUGGAACUGAGACACGGUCCAGACUCCUACGGGAGGCAGCAGUGGGGAAUAUUGCACAAUGGGCGCAAGCCUGAUGCAGCCAUGCCGCGUGUAUGAAGAAGGCCUUCGGGUUGUAAAGUACUUUCAGCGGGGAGGAAGGGAGUAAAGUUAAUACCUUUGCUCAUUGACGUUACCCGCAGAAGAAGCACCGGCUAACUCCGUG
rnacentral:rRNA from 1 species